GGGGAUGUCUGGUUUCGACAGGGUCGUAGGUGCGAAGAUUGCAAGCCGAGGUUCGCCUCCAGGCCUCGUUAAUCAGGAGGCGAAAAUAGAAAUGGCAAGCAACCGCUUGCUCUCGCCGCCUAACCACAGGUAGUGAGCGUUUGACCGGACCACAUUCCGACUGGUCCGGAUCCGAGCGAAACUAAGUCGGGAUGCCGCGGUUCCCAGUGCUGGAUAAGACCGCGAAAGAUAAUCUGGCUGGUCACGGGAUACAGUGUCGGUAGUGGCUCCCGUUGAUGACGAAAAAUACCGACUAAGCUUGUAGGAUAUCUUCCGCUGAGGGCUUUGGACGGGGGUUCGACUCCCCCCAUCUCCACCC
rnacentral:tmRNA from 1 species